rnacentral:rRNA from 1 species
CAAGGCUUGACAUCCUACGAAUCUUGAGGAAACUCAGGAGUGCCCUUCGGGGAGCGUAGAGACAGGUGGUGCAUGGUUGUCGUCAGCUCGUGUCGUGAGAUGUUGGGUUAAGUCCCGCAACGAGCGCAACCCCUGUGUUUAGUUGCUAACGAGUCAUGUCGAGCACUCUAGACAGACUGCCGGUGAUAAACCGGAGGAAGGUGGGGAUGACGUCAAAUCAUCAUGCCCCUUAUGUCUUGGGCUACACACGUGCUACAAUGGCCAGUACAGACGGACGCGAAGCCGCGAGGUGGAGCAAAUCCGAGAAAGCUGGUCUCAGUUCGGAUUGCAGGCUGCAACUCGCCUGCAUGAAGUCGGAAUCGCUAGUAAUCGCAGGUCAGCAUACUGCGGUGAAUACGUUCCC